ACACUGCAAGACGAUGGCAAUCCAUGAACCAGGAAGCAAGUUCCCAGUGGUCGUGGAAUCUUCCGGAACCUUGAUCUUGGAGUUCCAGCCUCCAGAAUUGUGAGAAACAAAUUUCUGUUGUUUACAAGCCAUGGCGUUCUGUUACUGCAACCUGAAUGGCUGACAGAUUAUAGGAGUGCUAGGGAGUCAUACAUAACAACAUUAACUAUGAAUGGAUUGAUAUUUGGAACAGACCAUUCACAGUCAUCCACUAUUGAGAAAAUGGCUAAGGAAAGGUCUCCCUACCUUACAAUGAUUUCCUCACAGCUGAGACCGGCUGAAGUCUCCCAGUGUGUGGCCUUAUAACACGGGAGCAUAUAUUUGUAAGAUUGCUGAUGUUACAGUGAGUUAGAAAGAACACCACCAGAUAAGAACUGAUCUGAAUAAAAUCCUGCGGAAGGAACAGACUGCAGAAGCCACCUUUAAGCAGUUUCAAACUUUCCAACACUUGAAAAUUUUUCAUUUUCUGGUGACCAGCCAGAAUGUAUUUUAUAAGUCUUAGUCUUGAAGAGCAACAAGAAAUUUCCACUUACCUAAGAAGAGGAGCUCUGUUCCUUAGGGCAGAUAUUACAGCCAACAUUGAGAGGAGCCUGGUAUCCCAGCAGAAAAGGAUUCUCUGCCAAUCAUGACUGUCUUUGCCAGAACAAAAGGUCUAUGCUAUUGUGAUAUGGGCCAUGGAAAUAAGAAAGUGAUGCUAUGCAAUCCCCUGAACUCCAGAAAUGAGCUACCUACUAGAUAAGUUACGGGAGAGAUUAAGAAAAUUGUAGUAAACUUUAUCAAAGUUCCUAGGUAGUGAUGCAGUGAAGAGUUAAUAAACGAAUAGACUUGA